GAAGGAUGAAGGUCUUCGGAUUGUAAACUUCUGUCAUUGGUGAACAAGGCCCACGCAGUAACUGGUGUUGGGAUUGAUAGUAGCCGAAGAGGAAGAGGCGGCUGACUCUGUGCCAGCAGCCGCGGUAAUACAGAGGCCUCGAGCGUUGUUCGGAUUCAUUGGGCGUAAAGGGUGCGUAGGUGGCGAGGCAAGUCUGGUGUGAAAUCCUAGGGCUCAACCCUGGAACUGCACUGGAUACUACUUUGCUUGAGUACUGGAGAGGAGAUUGGAAUUUACGGUGUAGCAGUGAAAUGCGUAGAUAUCGUAAGGAAGACCAGUGGCGAAGGCGAAUCUCUGGACAGUUACUGACACUGAGGCACGAAGGCCAGGGGAGCAAACGGGAUUAGAUACCCCGGUAGUCCUGGCAGUAAACGGUGCGCGUUUGGUGUGGGAGGAAUCGACCCCUUCCGUGCCGGAGCUAACGCGUUAAACGCGCCGCCUGGGGAGUACGGUCGCAAGAUUA
rnacentral:rRNA from 1 species